GUUCCACAUAAGAUGUAUUGAAUAAUACAUAACGAUGUGCUAUCUCCAACAUUUCAUCACUAAGUGCAAUAAAAUUUGGAGCAGAAAUGGGACGUCCCUCAGUAAUUUCAUUACUAACAUAAUCUUGAUUGCGCCCCUCUCGAUGACCAAUUUCUCUUACUUGUUUCAUAAACUCGAUACAAAAAUUCAUGCACUCAUCUACAAGAUAAUAUUCAGCUAUGCAACCUUUGGGUCGUGCACGAUUUCUCACAUAUCCUUUGAAUAUCUUCAUAUGUCUAUAAUUAAAUGAAGUAAACAAAAUAGUACUAAGAAUGAAAUUAUGUGUGUAAAUUUAUCCAAGUAAUAGUGAAUUUCUCACCUCUUAAAAGGAUACAUCCAACGAUAGUGAACUGGACCACAUAAUCGUACUUCUCUUCCCAAAUGUACCACCAAAUGUAUCAUGAUAUCAAAAAAUGCAGGAGGAAAGAAUCUUUCAAGACUGCAUAAGGUUUCAACUACUUCAUCUUCUAAUAUUGCUAUUUUCUCCCUAUCAACAACACGUUCGCAUAAUCUAUUGAAGAAUGUACACAGUCUAAAAAUUGCAUGUCUUGGUCCUUUUGGAAGUAAUCCUCUUAAUGCUACAGCCAAAAGUUGUUGCAUGAGGACAUGACAAUCAUGUGACUUGAGGCCAAUAAUUUUGCAUUCAUCUACUGAUAUACAAGUGACUACAUUUGAACAGUACCCAUCGGGUAAUUUCAAGUUAAACAGCUUCUUACAAAAUGUUUGUUUCUCUAACCUUGACAACGUAUGUGGA
rnacentral:lncRNA from 1 species